AAUCGUUUAUAAUAUAUAGCUCCAUGAACGUUUUUUAGGAAUUUUGCAUAGAGUUAAGUUAAGAUGGCAAAUGGGUGAUGUAAAUUUUCAUUUUUUCGGUCAUGAAGAAUACUUAUGCAAACGAUUGACGAUUAUGAGAAAAGCAUAAUCACACCACAAGGUGAGUUGAAAACAGGUUUUUUUUGUCCAACCAACGACAGAGUUCAGAUUCCGGAGCAUCGCAGCAACCUAUGAAGUUGCGUGUCUGUUUGUCUCCGGUACAGUGACAGUUUUAAUUGCCCGUCCCGACAGAACCAGUCCCCGGCCAGCCGACUAAAUAGACACUCUACCAUCCACAAAGAGGCAUUCGCAGAAUUUUCCCGCCUGCAGCAGUUCACAUAAAUCCCAGCAUUUAAAAGCUUACCGUGGACAGUAAAAUAGUUGCCAGUUUGCCACGAACAAAUUGAGGUUCGACUACAACGACCAACAUGUUUUUAAAAGCGCAGUUUGUAGCAGAGAAGGAAAUGCAAAAAUUCUCCCGUCAUCCUCUAAUCGGAAGUUGUCGGCAUGCCAAUGGCAAAAAAAUAUGUUCAUAGUGAAAUCGAAAAUGCACUAACGCAUGGUGCAGUUAGCUAUUCUAUUUCUAUCAUCAUUUAAGUAAUUCCCAGACCGUCUCGCAGCAUAUUUCAGUUGGCCGCUGGCAGUUUAACUGUUACCAAUUGUUUGGAUGAAUGACUUACGGCACAUUCCACAUUCUUCGACUGACACAGAAACACCACUCACAGUUUUCUAAACAAACAUGCAAGCCAUAAAUUAAAACAAAUAUUACAAACCAUCAACGGCGAUCAUCGGACCUGCAUGCAGACGGUUUCCAUCGCACAUGUGCAUCUUCGCCACAUAGUCUUGGGAACACCCAAACGAACAAUUCAUCUCAGCAGCAGCACAUUAUUCGAGCCUCCCGAAUGCGAUCCGAGAACGCAGCAGCAGCAGCGAACCGAUAUGUAGCCUAAUUAUGUCAUUCUUAUCUCUGGUCCGGGCGCGCCAAUCUGGGCACAGUUCCCUGCGGAAGACCCGAGGCUUUUGAUCAAGCAAAGCGAUACCGCUUAUCAAAACACAACAACAACCCAUCCGUGGGCCAGUAUUCGUGAUCGGAAAGCAGGGAGAAGAGAUUUUUUUUUGUUUUUUCUCUGUUGUUCCUAAUUGAAAGCGGAAAUGUUUAAUUUAGAUUUGCUGGAUUCGACCAGCCAUGUAUGCAUUGGUUUCGCUGGAGCCAAGGAAUCAAAUUUUUAUAUUUGGUUAAUGUGAUUUUCAUUCGUUCUGUUUUUUGUUUGCGGGGUGGUUCGUUGGAAAGUAAUUCCGGAGAUAUGUGACUACAGGCACUCUUGAUGGUAAAAAACGAAUGCCUUUCGUUUCGACUGAUUUUGCAUCCGAUUUUUAAUUUAUAGAAAAAUGACAGAUUUUGU